rnacentral:rRNA from 1 species
UACGGGGGGAGCAAGCGUUGUUCGGAUUUACUGGGCGUAAAGGGCGCGUAGGCGGUCGUGACAAGUCACUUGUGAAAUCUCCGGGCUUAACCCGGAAAGGUCAGCCGAUACUGCGGGGCUAGAGUGCAGAAGGGGCAACUGGAAUUCUCGGUGUAGCGGUGGAAAUGCGUAGAUAAUCGAGAGGAACACCUGCGGCGAAGGCGGGUUGCUGGGCUGACACUGACGCUGAGGCGCGAAAGCUAGGGGAGCGAACGGG